CAGUAGCCGCGGGAAUACGAAGGGGGCUAGCGUUGCUCGGAAUGACUGGGCGUAAAGGGCGCGUAGGCGGAUCACGCAGUCAGAUGUGAAAUUCCUGGGCUUAACCUGGGGGCUGCAUUUGAGACGCGUGGUCUAGAGUGUGAAAGAGGGUCGUGGAAUUCCCAGUGUAGAGGUGAAAUUCGUAGAUAUUGGGAAGAACACCGGUGGCGAAGGCGGCAACCUGGUCCUUGACUGACGCUGAGGCGCGAAAGCGUGGGGAGCAAACAGGAUUAGAUACCCCCGUAGUCCCUGUCUCUUAUAC
rnacentral:rRNA from 1 species